rnacentral:lncRNA from 1 species
ACUCCUUUAAAUUAACAUAAAUUUGGGAAACUCAUGGGUCCUUGUGUAGUGCUUUAGGACUGCUUACCUAAUUUGGGAUAAACAAUGCUAAGAUUCAAGGGUAGUUGAGGAAAAGAAAACUUUUAGCUUCUAGAGUUAUUUUGAGAUACCUAUGAGGUUACAAGAUAACUUUGACAAAAGGUUGUGGAGGGUUUUAAAAUU